rnacentral:rRNA from 1 species
GACGAACGCUGGCGGCGUGCCUAAUACAUGCAAGUAGAACGCUGAAGGAGGAGCUUGCUCUUCUGGAUGAGUUGCGAACGGGUGAGUAACGCGUAGGUAACCUGCCUGGUAGCGGGGGAUAACUAUUGGAAACGAUAGCUAAUACCGCAUAAGAGUAGAUGGUGCAUGACAUUUACGUAAAAGGUGCAAUUGCAUCGCUAUCGGAUGGACCUGCGGUGUAUUAGCUAGUUGGUGGGGUAACGGCUUACCAAGGCGACGACGGAUAGCCGGCCUGAGAGGGUGACCGGCCCCACUGGGACUGAGAUACGGCCCAGACUGCUACGGGGGGCAGAGGCGGGGAAUAUUGCACGAUGGGCGCCAGCCGGAUGCAGCGACGCCGCGUGAGGGAUGACGGCCUUCGGGUUGUAAACCUCUUUCAAUAGGGACGAAGCGCAAGUGACGGUACCUAUAGAAGAAGCACCGGCCAACUACGUG